rnacentral:tRNA from 1 species
GCCUCUAUAGCUCAGUGGCAGAGUACUGGUCUUGUAAUUAUGGGUCGAGAGUUCGAUCUUCUCUGGAGGCA